CCGCCGCCACGCACGGCUGGGAUCUGAGCGACCACCACGAGCACACUCGUCAGGAUAUCCGCUUGAUUUUGUUGGUAUGCAUAUCAUUUUUCUUCCUGUAACACAGAUAUCUUUUGCAUUAAGAACAAUACACAUGUCUCCAUCUUCCACAUGAGGUGCAUAGGUUGGCUUGUCCUUGCCUUGAGACACAACAGCUAUUUGGGAUGCCACAUGAGACUCAUACUGGGUAGUCAUUUGGGGAUUUCAACUGCAAUGUCAGUUUCAUUUUCCAGUGAGAGCCAAAGAGUUGUAGUUUCUUUCACUCAAACUAUAAGCUGGACGCAAGAAAGAAUCAUACUGGACAAUUAUUACAAGAUUUAACUGCAGGCUACUUUUGUUUUUCAGGCAGGAUCAAAGGGUUGUAGCUUCUUUCUCACAAUCCAAUAAAUGAGUGAAUCUGCACCAAAUCAAAAUAAGCAUCAGAUUGGAUGUGAGAUGGAGCAAAGAGGGAUAGGAUGGGAUUGGAUUGGGAGAAGCACGGACCAAAGCAAAACGAAUUAACCAAACCUCAUUCAGUCCAACAUACCAAAUCAACCUAAAAGCACACCGAACUUAUCCAGACCCAUCGCCGUCAGCGGGCUGGGCACUCGGCAGGCACGUCCAUGCCUUGUGCGCCACCAGCCUCUCCACCGCGAACGGCCUCCCCUGCACCUGCGGGGCUCUCCUGGUCCUCUUCUUCUUCCUCCUCCCCUCCUCCUAAGACCACCACCCCGGCACCCAACGGAGUUCAAAGAACAGCGGAACCCGAUGGCACAUCGAUCAUAGGGAGCGCCAUGGCGCGGCGGAGGAGAAGAAUCUGGGAUGGGGGAGGCGGCGGCGGCGAGAGUUAGCAUGGGAGAAAGAGGGAAGAGGAGAGGAGGAGGCGGCGGCAAAGAGGGAAGGCGCCGUGGUCUCGUGGAGUCUUGAGCGAGACCAGGUUAGGUUAGGCCAAUCCUAC
rnacentral:lncRNA from 1 species